CAAAAAAAGGAGGAGUCAAUGCAAAACUCAGAUAUCUUCCACCUCUACUUAUCUGAGUGCAGAGAGGAGGACAGAGAACAGUGGACACACAGUUUAACAUGAUGGACUAUAGGACAGGAUUGCUGCUUUUAACUAUCUGCUGGGCAGGUGUUGAUGGUCAAACUCUGACAGAAUCGGAACCAACAGUUAAAAAACCUGGAGAAUCCCACAGAUUGACCUGUACAACAUCUGGAUUCACAUUCAGUGAACACAGCAUGCACUGGGUCAGACAGGCUCCUGGAAAAGGACUGGAAUGGGUUGCCUAUAUCAGAUAUGACAGUGCAAGCAUCUUCUACUCUCAGUCAGUUCAAGGCCGGUUUACCAUCUCCAGAGACAACAGCAGACAGCAGCUGUAUCUGCAGAUGAACAGUCUGAAGACUGAAGAUUCUGCUGUUUAUUAUUGUGCUCGACACCCACAGUGACUGGAGUUGGUUGAGCAGCUGUACAAAAUCCUAUAAUAC